AACGAACGCUGGCGGCAUGCCUAACACAUGCAAGUCGAACGAGCCCUUCGGGUCUUGUGUCGCAUGGGUGCGUAACGCGAGGGAACCUGCCCUUAGGUUUGGAAUAACUCUCCGACAGGGGUGCUAAUACCGGAUAAUGUCUUCGGACCAAAGAUUUAUCGCCCUUGGUUGGUCCCGAGUUGGAUUAGCUAUUUCGUAGGGUAAAAGCCUACCAAGGCGACGAUUCAUAGCUGGUCUGAGAGGCUGAUCAGCCACACUGGGACUAAGAAGCGGCCCGGACUCCUACGGAAGGCAGCAAUGGGGGAUAGUGGACAGUGGGCGAAAGCAUGAUCCUGCUAGGCCGCGAGAGUGAUGUAGGCAUUAAGGUUGUAAAGCUCUUUUAACCGGGAUGAUAAUGACAGUACCGAGAGAAUAAGCUCCGGCUAACUCCGUG
rnacentral:rRNA from 1 species